rnacentral:rRNA from 1 species
UGGCGGACGGGUGAGUAAUGCUUGGGAAUCUGGCUUAUGGAGGGGGAUAACUACGGGAAACUGUAGCUAAUACCGCGUAAUAUCUUCGGAUUAAAGGGUGGGACUUUCGGGCCACCUGCCAUAAGAUGAGCCCAAGUGGGAUUAGGUAGUUGGUGGGGUAAAGGCCUACCAAGCCGACGAUCUCUAGCUGGUCUGAGAGGAUGACCAGCCACACUGGAACUGAGACACGGUCCAGACUCCUACGGGAGGCAGCAGUGGGGAAUAUUGCACAAUGGGGGGAACCCUGAUGCAGCCAUGCCGCGUGAAUGAAGAAGGCCUUCGGGUUGUAAAGUUCUUUCGGUGAUGAGGAAGGGUAGUGUUUUAAUAGAGCACUACAUUGACGUUAGUCACAGAAGAAGCACCGGCUAACUCCGUGCCAGCAGCCGCGGUAAUACGGAGGGUGCGAGCGUUAAUCGGAAUGACUGGGCGUAAAGGGCACGCAGGCGGUGACUUAAGUGAGAUGUGAAAGCCCCCAGCUUUACUUGGGAAUUGCAUUUCAUACUGGGUUGCUAGAGUAUUUUAGGGAGGGGUAGA